GCUAAGGCAGCGCUGGCCAGCAGAACCUGCCCCAUGGGCAGCCGGACCCCAACUCGAGAUUCCCAAGGGGGAAAGGUCCCCCGGGCCCUGAAGGGAGGGCAGGGAGGGAGUUUGCACGUCGCUUCUCAGGCUCCGCCGAGCAGCAUGAACGGGACAGACUGCAAGCAGGUAGAGAAGAGCCUGGAUGGGAGAGAAAACGGACUAUUCACAGCACCACAUGCUCUCCGAACUAAACUUCACUGCAUCACCUCAUGAAGAAAUACAAGAACCAAACAUGACACACGGGGCUCAGUCCCCUUGGCCA